UCCAAUUUAUUGCUCAUGUGAAGAUAAUUUCAUUCUCUGGACCCAGAGAUGCAAGACUUAAGGUCCAGAAGAGGAAAAGCCUUAAGAUGAAAACUGGAUGGGAUAGAAGUUGGGAGAUGCCCAUCCUCCUCCCCCUGGGAACACAGAACUGCCACAUACUCCCGUUGCCCCUGCAGAUAUGAACUCACAAGAUGGAAGGAGACCAGAUGCCUGAGCUUCUAUUUCAUUAAGAGUGACCCAAGAAAGCCAUGUUGCUCACAUCACACCCGGCCAUGAGGAAGAAAGAAAACUUUCCUGUUUUAAACUACUGAG